AUUGAACGCUGGCGGCAGGCCUAACACAUGCAAGUCGAGCGGAUGAAGGGAGCUUGCUCCUGGAUUCAGCGGCGGACGGGUGAGUAAUGCCUAGGAAUCUGCCUGGUAGUGGGGAUAACGUCCGGAAACGGGCGCUCAUACCGCAUACGUCCUGAGUGAGAAAGUGGGGGAUCUUCGGACCUCACGCUAUCAGAUGAGCCGAGGUCGGAUUAGCUAGUUGGUGGGGUAAAGGCCUACCAAGGCGACGAUCCGUAACUGGUCUGCGAGGAUGAUCAGUCACACUGGAACUGGGACACGGACCAGACUCCUACGGGAGGCAGCAGUGGGGAAUAUUGGACAAUGGGCGAAAGCCUGGUCCAGCCAUGGCGAGUGUGUGAAGAAGGUCUUCGGAUUGUAAAGAACUUUAAGUUGGGAGGAAGGGCAGUAAGUUAAUACCUUGCUGUUUUGACGUUACCAACAGAAUAAGCACCGGCUAACUUCGUG
rnacentral:rRNA from 1 species